CUGAGGAUGUCGUCCCUGUUGCACAAGGUGCUUUGUGCUGAAUCACUUCAGGAAGGAAGAACCAGUGCUCCUGUGGGAGACCCAUUUGUUCGAGAUGGAUUUCGAGCGAAGUUCGGAAGUUGGUGUGUGGUUUGAUACAGACCGAGGGUUCAGUGAAUGCUGCUGGACCUGCCAAUUAUUUCCAGUAUCUUGUGUUUUUAUUUACCUAUGAAACUGUUAAUUGGUCCCACUCUUAACAGAUUUCUCAAAUCUCAGAUGGCAACAAGGAAGCACACAGGAGUGAAAAAGAUAAAGACCAGAGAUCCUGCAGAUGCUGGAAAUCCAGAGUAACACACACAACAUGUUGAAGAGACUCAGCAAAAGUACUCACAAUACUCUGUGUGGUCUGACCAAUGUCUUAUAAAGCCUCAGAAUGACAUCUUUGCUCUGAUAUUCAUUGAGCGCAUUUACAAGAGGCGGUGCCACAAGACAGCAGCAUCUAUCAUCAAGACCGCCAUCAUCCAGAAUAAGCCCUCUUCUUGCUACUGCAAAUAAAAUGACAUGAGGCAUUGUAUGUUUAUGAAAAGCAGGAACAACUCAUUUAUUAUAGUCCAAAACCUGAACACAAAGCAUAGUAACCAAACAUCAUCAUCACGUCAAACCAUCCUCUUAAAGUGAAUCCCAAUCCAAAGUUGGCAGUUGUAUGUUUC